UUAAGCAGUCAUUCUACCUUGGGUUCAGCUCUUGUCAGAUCUGAUAAGUUAAAUAUCACUGGAUCUGGUCAGUAAUUGGAUGGAAGACCUCUGAGGAAAACUCGAGUGCUGAAG
ensembl:rRNA 5S_rRNA 5S ribosomal RNA